UGUAUGUAUUGUGUGUGUGUGUAUAUAUAUAUGGGCGAAUUCCAAAUGGCUUUCUUGCGCCCUUGAAGGACACUUCGGGAAGGGGAC